UACGGAGGGUGCAAGCGUUAAUCGGAAUUACUGGGCGUAAAGCGCACGCAGGCGGUUGGAUAAGUUAGAUGUGAAAGCCCCGGGCUCAACCUGGGAAUUGCAUUUAAAACUGUCCAGCUAGAGUCUUGUAGAGGGGGGUAGAAUUCCAGGUGUAGCGGUGAAAUGCGUAGAGAUCUGGAGGAAUACCGGUGGCGAAGGCGGCCCCCUGGACAAAGACUGACGCUCAGGUGCGAAAGCGUGGGGAGCAACCAG
rnacentral:rRNA from 1 species